rnacentral:rRNA from 1 species
AUUGAACGCUGGCGGCAUGCCUUUCACAUGCAAGUCGAACGGUAACAGGUCUUCGGAUGCUGACGAGUGGCGAACGGGUGAGUAAUACAUCGGAACGUGCCUAGUAGUGGGGGAUAACUACUCGAAAGAGUGGCUAAUACCGCAUGAGAUCUACGGAUGGAAGCAGGGGAUCGCAAGACCUUGUGCUACUAGAGCGGCCGAUGGCAGAUUAGGUAGUUGGUGGGAUAAAAGCUUACCAAGCCGACGAUCUGUAGCUGGUCUGAGAGGACGAUCAGCCACACUGGGACUGAGACACGGCCCAGACUCCUACGGGAGGCAGCAGUGGGAAUUUUGGACAAUGGGCGAAAGCCUGAUCCAGCAAUGCCGCGUGCAGGAUGAAGGCCUUCGGGUUGUAAACUGCUUUUGUACGGAACGAAAAGCCCCGGGUUAAUACCCUGGGGUCAUGACGGUACCGUAAGAAUAAGCCCGGCUAACUACGUGCCAGCCGCCGCCGUAA